rnacentral:rRNA from 1 species
GGCGCGCCUAACACAUGCAAGUCGAACGAGCGAGAGAGAGUUUACUUUUUCGAGCGAGUGGCGAACGGGUGAGGUAACGCGUGAGGAACCUGCCUCAAAGAGGGGGACAACAGUUGGAAACGACUGCUAAUACCGCAUAAGCCCACAGCUCGGCAUCGAGCAGGAGGGAAAAGGAGCAAUCCGCUUUGAGAUGGCCUCGCGUCCGAUUAGCUAGUUGGUGAGGUAAUGGCCCACCAAGGCGACGAUCGGUAGCCGAGCUGAGAGGCUGAUCGGCCACACUGGAACUGAGACACGGUCCAGACUCCUACGGGAGGCAGCAGUUAGGGAAUAUUUGGGCCAAUGGGCGCAAGCCUGACCCAGCAACGCCGCGUGAGGGAAGAAGGUUUUCGGAUUGUAAACCUCUGUCCUAUGUGACGAAGGAAGUGACGGUAGCAUAGGAGGAAGCCCCGGCUAACUACGUG